rnacentral:rRNA from 1 species
UACGUAGGGUGCGAGCGUUGUCCGGAAUUAUUGGGCGUAAAGAGCUCGUAGGCGGUUUGUUGCGUCGGCCGUGAAAACCUGCAGCUUAACUGUGGGCCUGCGGCCGAUACGGGCAGACUUGAGUUCGGUAGGGGAGACUGGAAUUCCUGGUGUAGCGGUGAAAUGCGCAGAUAUCAGGAGGAACACCGAUGGCGAAGGCAGGUCUCUGGGCCAUAACUGACGCUGAGAAGCGAAAGCAUGGGGAGCGAACAGG